rnacentral:lncRNA from 10 species
CUGUCUUAAUAAAUGGGCUCUGUCUGGGCAGCAAGCAAAAUGAACCCACUGGGUGGUUACAUCUUCAUUAGCUUAGUCCUGGAGAUUCUUUUCAGCUUGUAACCAAGAUCUACCUUUCAGUUUAACUUCCUGCUCCAUGUUGCCUGCCCUACAGAUAGGCACAAAAGAUACCCCAUACAUGGGCUCCUGGUUCCUUUUUGUCUUUCUUUUUUUCCAGGAAUUUUAAUUGUACACACUGGCUCCUCCUGAUUUGAUCUCCUUCUGCUUGGGACUAGCAACUUGGAUCCAGCUCAGCUGCCAGAAAUAGCCUCCUCUGUCGCAGAUUCCUUGAGAACCUGAUGAAAACCGUGGGAACUCCUCUUCCUGAAAAAUGCACUUCUGUUCAUACACAUGAAAAUGAACAACUUCAAGUCAUUUGUCUCUCCCAAGGCUCCUCUCCUAAAGGUUCUUUCUUAGAUCCUAGGUUAAGAACCUGUAAAUAAAGGAAAGAAAUUGAUCUUCUAGAGCGAAGUGUAAAGUAAAAAGAUUCUGAAUGGAGCUCAUAGAUGAUUCUCACAGGACAGAGGAUGAGGCAGGAGAUGGUGGCAUUUAGGGAAACAGUAAAAGAGGUGGUAAAAUAAAGAAUUAUAAGCAUAUGAGUGAGGCUGGGCUCUAUCCUAUAUCAACCUUGGACAAGUUACUUAACCUCCCCUAAACCUCAUUGUCCCUAACUAUAUAAUGGGGAUAAUUACAGUUUCUUGGGGAUGGUUAGUGAGUGAGGUAAUUAUGAAGCGCUUCUUACAAUGCCUGCACAAAUUCUACCUAUUAACGUUUCAGGCACUGAAAGGAUUCUUUAUAUUGUAGUGUGAAUUAAAAUACUAAGCCUGAGCAACAGAGUGAGACCCCAUCUCUGCAAAGAAAAAAAAAUUUUUUUUUGAGACUGGCUCCCAUUCUGUCCCCCAGGCUGGAAUGCAGUGGCACAAUCUCGG